ensembl:snRNA U6 U6 spliceosomal RNA
GUGCUCACUUCAGCAGCAGGUGUACUAAAAUAGAUACAACCAAGAGCAGAUUGGUGCAGCUCCUGCCCAUCGAUGACAUGCGAAUGUGUGAAGCAGGCCAUAUUUUU